GUGCAGGCUGCAUGCAGGCUGUGUUUUUGUGCUCUGUGUUCUCUCUAUGCAGAGUAUGACUGGCAGGUGCUACUGCACAGGUGUUGCUCAUCUGAGAGAAAUCAGCUGGGGUACUUAUGGAAUGGAAACCCAGAGGGAGGCGUCAGCUUGUUUUCUCACUUGGCAUGAUCACCCUUCGCUGUAGGAAGUUGUGGAACCUUUCUGGUCUCUGUUUUCACUCGUGUCACGUUCAGAGGAGUUUGAACUCCAGCCUCGACACCUCAACCUUGAGCCUCUUUUCUACUUCCAACUCCAAGCCCAGCUUCUCAGGAGUCACCUUAGAACACUCGUCAACCUGCCUGUCCCCCUCCAACGUUAAAACUAUCCAAACAUAGUGGCGAUUCCUGGAAGAGAAGAAACAAAGCGCUUCAUCCUCUGAAAACUGUUCACAGCCUGUCAGCUUCAAGCCACCAUGGAGAAGCACUUAUUUUACCCCGGUCUUGCCAAGAACUCAAACCCUAGAGACCCCGUGUUUGUCCACCAGCUCCAGCCCUGGUUCCAGUCUGACCUCUUAUCCGUGUUUCUAAAUAAACUGUUAAAAUGCUGUCUUUGUCCUCGUGGUUGUGUAUCUCGGAGUCUAAGAAAACCCCAUUA